AGAGUUUGAUCCUGGCUCAGAUUGAACGCUGGCGGCGUGCCUAACACAUGCAAGUCGAGCGGUAACAGGUGUAGCAAUACAUGCUGACGAGCGGCGGACGGGUGAGUAACGCUUGGGAAUCUGCCUGUUAGUGGGGGACAACCCGGGGAAACUCGGGCUAAUACCGCAUACGCACUACGGUGGAAAGCCGGGGACCGCAAGGCCUGGCGCUAACAGAUGAGCCCAAGUCGGAUUAGCUAGUUGGUAGGGUAACGGCCUACCAAGGCGACGAUCCGUAACUGGUCUGAGAGGACGACCAGUCACACCGGAACUGAGACACGGUCCGGACUCCUACGGGAGGCAGCAGUGGGGAAUAUUGGACAAUGGGCGAAAGCCUGAUCCAGCGACGCCGCGUGGGUGAAGAAGGCCUGCGGGUUGUAAAGCCCUUUCGGUGGGGAAGAAAAGCCUCGAGUUAACACCUCGGGGUCUUGACGUAACCCAUAGAAGAAGCACCGGCUAACUCUGUGCCAGCAGCCGCGGUAAUUC
rnacentral:rRNA from 1 species